GGAAGUAAAAGUCGUAACAAGGUUUCCGUAGGUGAACCUGCGGAAGGAUCAUUAGUGAAUAUAGGACGUCCAACUUAACUUGGAGUCCGAACUCUCACUUUCUAACCCUGUGCAUUUGUUUGGGAUAGUAACUCUCGCAAGAGGGCGAACUCCUAUUCACUUAUAAACACAAAGUCUAUGAAUGUAUUAAAUUUUAUAACAAAAUAAAACUUUCAACAACGGAUCUCUUGGCUCUCGCAUCGAUGAAGAACGCAGCGAAAUGCGAUAAGUAAUGUGAAUUGCAGAAUUCAGUGAAUCAUCGAAUCUUUGAACGCACCUUGCGCUCCAUGGUAUUCCGUGGAGCAUGCCUGUUUGAGUGUCAUGAAUACUUCAACCCUCCUCUUUCUUAAUGAUUGAAGAGGUGUUUGGUUUCUGAGCGCUGCUGGCCUUUAGGGUCUAGCUCGUUCGUAAUGCAUUAGCAUCCGCAAUCGAACUUCGGAUUGACUUGGCGUAAUAGACUAUUCGCUGAGGAAUUCUAGUCUUCGGACUAGAGCCGGGUUGGGUUAAAGGAAGCUUCUAAUCAGAAUGUCUACAUUUUAAGAUUAGAUCUCAAAUCAGGUAGGACUGCCCGCUGAACUUAAGCAUAUCAAUAAGCGGAGGA
rnacentral:rRNA from 1 species